GUCGAGCUUGGUAACGCGGGCUUGCAACCCAAGUGGGGACGAUAAGGUGGUUGGAUGUUGGACUAUUGUUGAUGGGUUGGGCUCAGUGGGGCUAAUUGCUGGCCUGCCCGUUCCAAGUUGAGUGUUGACCAACGUGGGCCAGGCGAAGGCCUGGGCGCUACUUUGGUACUAAAAGUGUGAAAGGUAAUGCGUCAGGCUGGCUUCACAGAGCAGCGUCACCUUCCGCUCUCAGCCGUUGAAGGAUAACAGGCUGGUGCCCUAAAGGGUCCAACAAAACCCAGAUAACUGGCCCAAUCAAACAACCACUAUU